rnacentral:tRNA from 1 species
GGCUCGUUGGUUUAGGGGUAUGAUUCUUGCUUAGGGUGCGAGAGGUCCCAGGUUCAAAUCCCGGACGAGCCC